UGUCAUGUCACGCAAUGGGUCAGUGCAUCUGGCUGUUACCUAGAAGAUUGGUGGUUCGAGCCCACCCAGGCACAA
rnacentral:tRNA from 1 species